UUUAUUGCCUAAGUAUAUCUCAUUCAAUAUUUAAGGCAUACUUACACUAAAA
rnacentral:pre_miRNA from 1 species